CGACGUCUUCCGUCCACGGUAGAAAAACCCUGUGUCGCGCAGCGAGUCUCGCAAAGGGGCAAACUUGAAUCAAGUCAUAACUCCUUCACCAGGAGCAACGACUUAGGGGGCUCCUGUUCUGGACUGGACCUACCCUUUACCCAACUACCAGUGAGGCCCAAUCCAAGUUUGCCAACCUGCUGCGCUGAGCAGUAUUUCCCCCGAGCACAUCCCGACCACAGAUGUCUUGUCGACCAAGACUGCUUCUCGUCGGUGCUCGCAGAGACCAUCUCCAACAAGCACACGCUCCUUCCGAGCACAUUCCACGUAGAGUUGACUUCCAACCUCUCCUAA